UACGGGGGGGGCAAGCGUUGUUCGGAAUUACUGGGCGUAAAGGGCUCGUAGGUGGCCAAUUAAGUCAGACGUGAAAUCCCCAGGCUCAACCUGGGAACUGCGUCUGAUACUGGUUGGCUUGAAUUCGGGAGAGGGAUGCAGAAUUCCAGGUGUAGCGGUGAAAUGCGUAGAUAUCUGGAGGAACACCGGUGGCGAAGGCGGCAUCCUGGACCGGUAUUGACGCUGAGGCGCGAAAGCCAGGGGAGCAAACGGG
rnacentral:rRNA from 1 species